rnacentral:rRNA from 1 species
UACGGAGGGUGCGAGCGUUGUCCGGAAUCACUGGGCGUAAAGGGCGCGUAGGCGGCCAUUCAAGUCGGGGGUGAAAGCCUGUGGCUCAACCACAGAAUUGCCUUCGAUACUGUUUGGCUUGAGUUUGGUAGAGGUUGGUGGAACUGCGAGUGUAGAGGUGAAAUUCGUAGAUAUUCGCAAGAACACCAGUGGCGAAGGCGGCCAACUGGACCAACACUGA